AACAAACGCUGGCGGCGUGCCUAAUACAUGCAAGUCGAACGAGGAAAACUUUCGGGUGAGUACUAGUGGCGCACGGGUGAGGAAUAUAUGGGUAAUCUGCCCUCAAGUCGGGGAUAACCAGUCGAAAGACUGGCUAAUACCGGAUAAGACCACAGAAUCUUCGGAUUCAGAGGUUAAAGGUUUUUCGCUUGAGGAUGAGCCCAUACGGGAUUAGCUAGUUGGUGAGGUAAUGGCUCACCAAGGCUACGAUCCCUAACUGGUCUUAGAGGAUGAUCAGUCACACUGGAACUGUGACACGGUCCAGACUCCUACGGGAGGCAGCAGUAGGGAAUAUUGCACAAUGGGGGAAACCCUGAUGCAGCGACGCCGCGUGAGUGAUGAAGGCCUUCGGGUCGUAAAGCUCUGUCGUAUGGGACUAACACAAUGAAGGUACCAUGCAAGAAAGGAUCGGCUAACUUCGUGCCAGCCGCCGCUGUAA
rnacentral:rRNA from 1 species